rnacentral:rRNA from 1 species
UACGGAGGGUGCAAGCGUUAAUCGGAAUUACUGGGCGUAAAGCGCACGCAGGCGGUUUGUUAAGUCAGAUGUGAAAUCCCCGAGCUUAACUUGGGAACUGCAUUUGAAGCUGGCAAGCUAGAGUCUUGUAGAGGGGGGUAGAAUUCCGGGUGGAGUGGUGAAAUGCGUAGAUAUCCGGAGGAAUACCAAAGGCGAAGGCAGUGUCCUGGCUGGCAUCUGACGCUGAGGCGCGAAAGCUAGGGGAGCGAACAGG